GAGAUUAGAGAGUGAUUACUCUUUUCUCUUGAUUUCUUCAUAUUUAGUGGGUGGAUGAAGGGAGGAUGCUAGUCCUCAUCUUGUAUAGAAGAUGUUCUCGUGAUUUAGCUUUGUUUGUUGUCUCAAAUCGUGCUAAAUCUUUGAUUCCUGAGCGUUUUUCUUUUUCCCUAUUUUUGGAGCUAUUUUUUGGGAAUUUUCGUUCAUCAUGUUUGAGCCCGAAUCUUGUGAGAUUGGUUGAAGGGAAAUGUUGCCAGGACCUUGGAGAGCAUCUUUGAUAUGAUCCCCCUUCAAAUCCUUCACGAAUCCAGCUUGAUUUUGAGUUUUUCCAAAUCGUGUUCUUGAGGUAGGGUUUCGAUUUUCUCCAAGAUUUGCAAUGAAUACUUGAGCUUUUCGAGAUUUGUCUCAUGGAUCUAUUUUCCCUUGGGGUAUUGCAUCCUUGUCUCAAGUUUCGUUUCGAUCCGAGGAGUAUUGACGGAGUAAUUCUGGAUCGAAGUUGGGCGAGUUCUUCAGGCGUUCUUAUGUUCAUUCGGUUUGCUCUUCCUAUUCCUCUUUUGUUCGUGUGUGUGUGCAGGGCAUCAAAGCGAACCAGCAGCGAGCAGUGAACAGCAGCAGCAUGCGAGUGGGCCAAGUCCAGCGACGCAGGCCAGCACGGCAGGUAGCACAUAGCCCAGCAACUGGUGGCCCGUCAGCAAGCCGGAGCUGCACCAGGCCGUCCACUGCGAGGCGGGUCAAGUCUGACCAGGCGGCCCAGCUAGCUGCACCAGCGUGCAAGCAGCCCAACUAGGAGGCGCAGAAGCUUGGCUAGUCCAACUACGGGAGCUAGUGGCCCGUUAGCAGCUGUGAAUAGCCCAAGCCUCAAGUGACAGUAGGAGGCCCACGCAAGCAGAUCUUCUGUGAAAGCACUGUGAACUUGAUUGUUUUAGUUCCUUGCCAAUUCCAUGCAAUUGCGAGCUAACCACUGUUGAGUGGUUUAGCAAUUUAAUCCUUGCAUAGUUCUGUUACUUGCUACUAGUUUUGAUUUCCCGUAUUACUAAUCUGCGUAGUUUAUUGCUGAUCCUUCCUUGACUAGUUUAGUAAGUGGUUAGUAGUAUCCUUGCUUUAUUUCGUUUGUGCAAGCUUGAUGGAGUCGAAUCAUGCAAUGUUUCCGCUGUGAUAUGAGCGUGUCUUAUCGUUCCUAAGGUGAGCUUGUCACGAGUUGACUAGCGUCAUCUUGACGAUAUAACGCGUAGUGUGUUUUGGGGUUGCGUUUGGGAUAUAGGUCUUGUUCUUGUUGAGAAUUUUUUAUAGGCUCCUAUUCACCCCCCCUCUUGUCACCCUUUCGGUCCUUCAAUUGGUAUCAGAGCUGGUUAAGGUUUUUCAUACCCUAAUUGGUUUCGAAACCUAUUAUGGCAACCUCUGAGCGUUCUUCCUCGACCACUGCACACUACUUUGAUGGCUCUGACUAUCAGUAUUGGAAAACUCGCAUGAGACCACUGCACACUAAUUUGUUCAUUUGCCUGGAGAGUCUGCUGAUGCUUUGUUUCAGCACUUUCUUGCUAUUGUGAACAAGAUGAAAGCAAACAUCACUGUCUUACCCUACACCGAUCAUGAUAGAGCUUUAAAGCUCCUGCAUGCUUUGGAUCACGAGGUGUGGGGUACGAAGGUUGAUGCUAUCAUCGAGUCACCAAAUUAUGAGACGCUUUCCACUGAUGAGCUCUUUGCUAAGUUGAAAUCCACGGAGGUUGACAAGAGGCUCCGAGCUAAACAGGGGAGCCCUACUGAUCCAAAUAGUAUGGCUCUCAUGUGAGGCUCUGGACAGCCUAAGUCUUUGAGUGGCUCUUCUUCGAUGUCGUUUGUCUUGUCUUCUUUGGUUUUAGUGUCCGAGGAGCAGCUGGAGGUUCUUGAUGAUGAUGAGCUUGCCUUGAUCACUCGGCGAUUCAUGCGCUUCAACGACAAUCCCAAGAACCGGUGAAGGAACAACAAUACAUGUUUCAACUGUGGGAAGCCAGGACACUUCGCCGCCGACUGCCCCGACAAGAACAAGUCCAAGAGCGGGUACAACUACAACAAGCACAAGAACAAGGACGACAUCAGGAAGAAGAAAAAGUACAUCGAUCGCGAGAAGAAGGAGCAUCGCAAGAAGGCCAAAGCGCGUGCCUUCAUUGCCUCCCUCAGCGACGUCAACUCCAACACCGACGACCACACCGACUCAAGCUCAAACGAGGAGGAUGACGAUCGCAAGGCGAAGAAGAAGGACGGAAAGAACUUCAACAGCCUCUGCUUCUACUCCGGUAAGAACCACGACGGGUACUGUGUCAUGGCCCUCAACUCCAGGAAGGAUGACAAGGAAAGUAACUCCGACACAGAAACUGAGGUAAAGUCUACUCCUGAAUAGCUUGCUCUAGAAGUAGAAGAACUGAAUGAUUGCCUGAUCAAUCAAGAUAAGUUGCUUAAGAAGGCUGCUAGAGAGCGAGUUGAGCUUAAGGCUAAGUUAGAGAGUGCCUUGAUUGAGAUUGAUAUGCUCAAGUCUUCUCCCACCAUUUCUGAUGUUGUUGAGUGUGAUGAAUGUGCUAUUCACAUGUCCAGUUUAGCUUCCUUACAGUCCAAACAUGCUUUGCUUGUAGAUGAAUUAGAUUUGGCCAGGGCUGCACUAGAUGAGAUUAAAACUAGACCUGUUUUGCUUAGUGCUUGCAAAUCUUGCCCUACUUUACAAACUAAAUUUGAUGAUGCUUGUGUUAGGUUUAAGGCUCUUGAGAAAUCUGAAGUUUCUAUUUGCACUGAAUGUCCUGAAAUUAGAGAUGCUUUGCAAUAUGAUAAGGAUGAGAAUUCUUAUUUGCGCACUGUUCUUAGUUGGGUAUCAAGUAGGGAACCUCAGCUAGGCAUGAUGAUUCAGGAGUUCAAAAUGGCUGAUGGUUUUGGGCUUGGAUCUGUUAUCAAGGGUUGUCAUUUUAAUGGGUUGCACAAAUUCUUUGAUGGGUUGUGUGAGAAGGUGGGUCAAAACAGUGGAGAGAGAAAGAAACCAAGCUACAACCAGUGUGAGCCACCAGCUGACUAUACCCCUCGAGAGUCACCCACAUAAAAUAGAGAGCAACCCAAUCCAGCCAGUGAGCAAAAUGUGUCUGAGUGUGUGAGAGAUGGAGUUUUCAUUGAGACACCACCUAAAGCACCCAAGAAAGCCAUUUGGGUGGAAAAGCCAAACCACCUCAAGAACAAGCUUGACACACUUUCGGAAAUUGCUCCUAAGAAACCUCCACCAAAACCCUAAGCCAAGCCACAACCUAGAGUGAAUCCACAGCCAAAACAGCCUGCUAGAUUCCACUGUGAGUAUUGCAAGAGAGGGGGUCACCUUGAGAAGUUUUGCUUUCGCAAGAAGAAGGCUUCAAGGCAUGAGUGUGAGUGGGGAAAUAGGGACAUGUACCACCCUUCUCAUGGUGUAGAUGCGCUUAGAGCAGCCUCUCCACCUCGAUGUGUGGAUAGUAUGCGCUUUGCUUCUUUGUGUGGUUUUGCCAAGCAUGCUCCUCGCGAUGAUUAAUAUGGCCCAGGAUAGCAUGGCCGUGACUUUGAGUCCCAGAGGUACAAUCGACCACGUUUUCCUCCUGUGCCUCCUAGUGUUGGUCGUAGUCCUCUGGUGAGACGAGAGAUGGUUGAUUAUGUUAACCCCACUCUUGAGCAAAUGGUUCAACACUGGUAUUCUACCUGUUUUUCUAACCCCAGUGUUGAGGCAUUUGCUCAUCCUUGGUCUCCUUUCAUGUGAGCAGGUCGGAGGCCUGGAGAACACGUGGCUCAUUGAUUCUGGUUGCUCUCGGCACAUGAUCGGUGAUCACAAAUAGUUCUCCAGCCUCACCCCGGUGAUGACCAAGGAGUACAUCACUUUCAGGGAUAAUAACAAAGGUAAGGUUCUGUCUGAAGGUGCUAUCAAGGUAAGUGAGAAUUUCAUACUCAAGCGAGUUGCUCUUGUUGAUGCUCUCAGUUUCAAUUUGCUUUUGGUUUCACAACUUCUUGAUGAUGGAGUUGAGGUUCGUUUCAAACAUGGGGCUUCAUGGAUUUUAGAUUCUCGAGGUGAUCUUGUGUGUAUGAUCGUUCCUGAGGGUCAAGUGUUUCGAGUGGAUUUCUCUAAGUCAUUUGGUCUCUCUCGGUGUUUAGUGGCUGGCUCAUCUUCUGAGCUUUGGAAGUGGCAUAGGAGAUUGGGUCAUUUGAGUUUUGAUUUACUUUCCCGCUUGAGUGCUUUGGAUCUUAUUCGAGGUAUGCCCAAAUUAAAAUUUGAGAAAGAUCUUGUUUGUGCUCCUUGUUGACAUGGAAAGUUGGUUGCUGCUUCCCAUCCACCUGUGAAUCAGGUGAUGACUAAGCAUCCAGGCGAGCUGUUGCAUAUGGACACUAUUGGUCCAUCUCGUGUUUGCUCAGUUGGUGGGAAGGGGUAUGUGCUUGUGAUCGUUGAUGAUUUUUUGAGGUAUUCAUAGGUUUUCUUCAUGGAGUCUAAGGAUGAGGCAUUUUCUUUUGUUCAAGAUUUCAUCUUGAGGUUGAAAAAUGAGCGACCAAAAGAUGUCAUAAGAGCUAUCCGCGUGACAAUGACACAGAAUUUAAGAACGCUCAUUUUAAAUCCUUUUGCAAUGAUUUUGGUCUUGAACACCAGUUUUCAUCACCUUAUGUCCCUCCUCAGAAUGGUGUUGUUGAACGGAAGAAUCAGACCCUUUGUGAGAUGGCUAGGACGAUGCUUGAUGAGCAUAGGACUCCUAGAAAAUACUGGCCGAAACUGUCAACACUGCUUGCUAUGUUUCCAAUUGAAUCUUCUUACGAGCUUUCAUGAAGAAAACUUCUUUUGAGCUGAUGCAUCGACGUUCCCCCAAAGUGUUUCAUUCUGAGGGUGUUUGGCUGCAAGUGUUUCAUUCUCAAGCAAGGGAAUUUGGACAAAUUUGAGUCUCAUUCUACGGAUGGGAUUUUUCUUAGUUAUGCUUCUCAUAGUCGUGCUUAUCGUGUGCUUAACCUUGGAACUAACCGGAUCGUGGAAACUUGUGAGAUUACAUUCAAUGAAACUAUGCCUUGCACAACUUCUAUCUUUGAAGUUGUAAGUGAACAUGAAAUGGGGCAAAGCAUCUUUGAGGAAGAGGAAGAGCGUGUGAAUGGUGGUGAUGAAGAAGAUGAUGAGAUUGAUCGAGUUCCAGCUGCUACUCAUGUACCUUCUAAUUUGACUACAAUGGUUGGUGGUCCUACCUCCACUCCCACUACUUCAAGCCAUCAACAACUACCACUACAGGAUGAAGAAGAAGAAGUUCAGGGUAAUCUAGCUGCUGUUAAGGGGGAGGUGACUUCAGAGCAAGAGGCUCCACAUACAUUCAGCGUCGCCAUCCUCCACAACAAAUGAUCAGUAACUUACAUAAACGCACCACUCGGCACAGCUCUAGGCAGAUUUCACACUUUGCACAUUCUGCUUUUGUUGCCUCUUUUGAACCCUGAGAUAUUGGACAUGCUUUAUCUAAUUCGAACUGGGUCAAUGCAAUGCAUGAGGAGUUAGAAAACUUUGAGAGAAACAGGAUUUGGGUUUUAGUUGACCACCUCCAAAUUGCCACCCUAUAGGAAUAAAAUGGGUUUUCAAAAAUAAACAGGGUGAGGAUGGAUUGGUUGUGAGAAACAAAGCGAGGUUAGUUGCCCAAGGUUUUAGCUAAAAAGAGGGGAUAGAUUAUGAGGAAACCUUUGCCCCUAUUGCCCAUUUGGAAGCGAUUAGAAUCCUUCUAGCCUUCUCUGUGGCUAAAGGUUUUAAGCUCUUCCAAAUGGAUGUGAAAAGUGCCUUCCUAAAUGGUUUCAUAGAGGAAGAAGUGUAUGUGUAACAACCCCCUGUCUUUGAGAGUCCUAAGUAUCUUGAUCGUGUUUUCAAACUUCACAAAGCUCUCUAUGACCUAAAACAAGCAUCCCGAGUGUGGUAUGCCAGAUUGAAAUCAUUUUUGCUUGGAAAUGGGUUUGAAAUGGGGUCAGUUGAUAAAACACUCUUUCUCCUCAGGCAAGGCAAAGACUUAAUGAUUGUUCAGAUUUACGUGGAUGAUAUUAUCUUCGGUGGCUCCUCUCAUGCUUUCGUUGCCAAGUUUGCAGAUGACAUGGGCAGGGAAUUCGAGAUGUUUAUGAUGGGUGAGUUGACCUUCUUUCUCAGGCUACAAAUCAAGCAAAGCAAUGAUGGAACCUUUGUGCAUCAAGGCAAGUACACGAAGGAUGUGUUGAGGAAGUUUGACAUGGCUGACGCCAAGCCAUUGUCAACUGCUAUGGCAACGACGACGGCUUUGGAUACAAAUGAAGAUGGAGAACAAGUGGACCAGAAGGAGAAAAGGAGCAUGAUCGGCUCCCUCUUGUACCUGACGGCGACGAGGCCGGACAUACACUUCGCUGUGUGUCUAUGCGCUUGUUUUCAGGCUUUACCGAGGACAUCUCACCGUCAGGCAGUGAAGAGGAUCAUGAGGUAUCUCCGCUUUACCCCUAAGUUCGGUUUGUGGUAUUCUGCCUCCCGACACUCACGCUCUGGGGAUAUUCCGAUGCGGACUUUGCUGGGUGUCGCUUGGAUCGCAAGUCUACCUCAAGCAGUUGCUAGUUUCUUAGUUUGUCUUUGGUCACUUGGUCUUCUCGCAAACAAUCUAGUGUUGCUCAGUCUACCACUGCAGCUAAGUAUGUUGCUGCUGCUAGCUGUUGUUCUCAGCUGCUUUGGAUGAUUUCCACUUUGAGAGACUUUGGUUUGGAUUUUACUCAUGUAUCCCUUCUUUGUGACAGCACGAGUGCCAUUAGUGUAGCCAAGAACCCCGUUCUCCACUCAAAAACCAAACACAUUGGUGUGAGAUAUUAUUUUCUAAGAGAUCAUGUUGAGAGAGGGGACAUUGACCUUGGCCAUGUUGCUGCCCAAAACCAACUCGCUGAUAUUUUCACCAAACCCUUGGAUCAAGCCACUUUUGCUUGUUUGUGGGGGGAGUUGGGUGUUUGCUUUCCUUUCUGAGUUGGAUUUUGGAGCUUCUCUUUUAUUAUACUUGUAUCAUUUAUGUACAAAACAUGGUAGGAUAGCCACUUCUUCAUGAUAGCUUUGAGUUCUUCAUGUAUAUCUUAUCAUGCUAUCUUUUGUGAUAUUUUGUGGUGGAUGAUACAUAUGAACAUCAUGUCAUGCUUUACCAUAGUUCACAUUUGUGUAUGGCAUAUUGUUCAUCUAUAUCAUUUUUGCUUAGUAUUUUUGCAUCUAUAUCAUAAUGCAUUUUGUAUCAUACUGCAUUAGAUGAGCUUCUCCUAUAUACCCUAAGUACUCCCUUAUGCUACUUGUGAGCUAGUGUUGUGGUUGGUGAUUUUGAUGCAAUGUGAAGUUAUGCUCUUGAUGAUAUUGUAUACUUGUUGAGAUAACUAUUUUUGAAAUUCAAUGCUAAAUUCUACUCUAUUAACUUGCUUAUCUCCCAUGAGUAGAUGCAUAAUUAUGGUUUGCCCUUGUUUUAAUACUGGUUCUGUAUCAAGCUUGUAUUUGGAAUCCAUGUUCUUUUCAAUUGGGUCAAAGAUUUAGGUAUCAUUGCAAAUGUUUAGCCCAUGAUGCACCCCUUGGGGAAGCAUGGCUUCUUUGUGCCGCAAAGGUACUUCAUGUAUUUUGCUUUGUGUGAAUAAUGAAAAUAAAAAUGCUGACAAAUUCAUAAAUUCACCAAAUUUUUGUGCUUAAUGUGAUAUUUUUGCUUGCUUAGUUGUUACAAGAUGUCUACCAAAAGAAGUAGGCACUUGGUUUCAACAAGUUUUAAACAUGACGUGUGAUGCAUAUAUGGGUUUUUGCAAUGAUGUCUUGUUGAUAAUGGGUUUUCCUAGUAUGAGCUCUUGAUGGACUAGUCUAUUCUUUCUUGGGUGAUUCUUAACUAGGUGCCUGCUCAUGUGGUGAUCUUUUUAUACAUUGCUAAAACUUGAUACUUGCUUCACCUCCACUGUUGUAACUUGAUAUCAUCUUGUUAGCGAUGCUAUUGUUUCUUAUGAUCCAUCAAGCUUUAUCUCCCCUGUAGCCUUUGAGAAUGCAUUGUGAUAUAUUUGAGAAGCUUGUUAGGUUCUGCAUUUCCAUGGUAUGCAUUUUGUGCUUUCAUGCUUUUCUUGAUGGUUGCAUUGUCAAUAAGGGGGAGAGAAAUCUACACAAACUCAUUCAUCUAUCAAGGGGGAGACUUUGCGUGUAUGCAUGAUUUCAGGGGGAGUGCAUAUGUUCAGGGGGAGUAUUUAUGAGUUGUUGCUAUGCUCUUGUUAUGCUCUUGUGCUCUUGUACCAGUCGCGUUGAGCUAUUUACCUCUUCUUAAGGAGCCAAUUUUUUAUUUGAGUUUGGAUUUUCAUGUGAUUGGUGUUGAGCCCGUUUUAUGCCUCUUCUUGAGAGAUCACAUGAUUUUGUCUCAGUUGUGUAGAGUCGUUUCCCUUAUCUUAGGGGACUGAGAUUUUCUAUUUGAGUUUCUUGUUUUCUGUUUCAAUACUAUGAAUUUGUGGGGUGUUGUCAAUACACUCAUCAAGGGGGGAGAUUGAGGACCAAUGGUGGUCACCUUUGGAAGAUGAGUGAUUGACAACGUUGUGUUGGUUUCAUGUUGCUCUUGACUUGUGAUGUGCAGGUGUAGGAUGCGACAUGGCGGUCGACGGCGUGCGGUGAAGGUCAAGCGAAAGGUUCAUGCCGAUGGACCAAGGGCGGUGAAGGAUGAACGCGAGUAGGCUUGGAUCGAUGGACCUGAGGAGUCCGGGCGAAGUCAUGGGCGGUCCACAUGGUGCACAGAACGGCGAGAGGACAUGACAGGAUGGAGACGGCGUUGGUCGAGUCGAGCGGGAGGCUUGGCGGAGGCAAGACACGCGUCGACAUCGAGGAGGUCGCGUGGCGGCCAAGCGAAGAUGGACAGUUUGGGUGCUUUGGGCCUCAAAACCACCGUGCAGACAGGUUUCCCGGUUUGGGCCUCAAAACCGGGGGCGACCCCGGUGCGGUCGGAGCUUUGAGAAGGAGGGCACGUGGCGUCAUCACGAAGCUUGCGUCGAGGCGAAGCAAAGUCGUGAAGGCGGCGUGUCCGUCCGAUGCACGGAUAAAAACUUGGACCAAAAUGCCCCUGCGUUGGUAGUUAUCCUAGUUAUAGUGUUAGGGGUAGUAUGGUCAUUCGUCCCGAACUAUAUAUAGGGAUGGGGGGCUGGUUAUUUCAGCACCUCUUUGCUUAGCAACUCAUUAUCAUUUGGCUUAGAGGCUAGUCAUGUGCUUAGAGUGAGAGGAGAAAGGGAGAUUAGAGAGUGAUUACUCUUUUCUCUUGAUUUCUUCAUAUUUAGUGGGUGGAUGAAGGGAGGAUGCUAGUCCUCAUCUUGUAUAGAAGAUGUUCUCGUGAUUUAGCUUUGUUUGUUGUCUCAAAUCGUGCUAAAUCUUUGAUUCCCGAGCAUUUUUCUUUUUCCCUAUUUUUGGAGCUAUUUUUUGGGAAUUUUCGUUCAUCAUGUUUGAGCCUGAAUCUCAUGAGAUUGGUUGAAGGGAAAUGUUGCCAGGACCUUGGAGAGCAUCUUUGAUAUGAUCCCCCUUCAAAUCCUUCACGAAUCCGGCUUGAUUUUGAGUUUUCUCAAAUCGUGUUCUUGAGGUA
rnacentral:lncRNA from 1 species